rnacentral:antisense_RNA from 1 species
CCGCCCCUCAACCAACCCCCAGGCGGCAAGGCCCUCUCCACGCGCGCUCUCCAGCCUGGCGGGGCCCUGGAAGCCGGGACACGCGGAGGCCGGGAGGGUCAUCGGCGUUUAAGGCAGCCUCCCACACCCAAGUGCACCGCCCGGAGCCCCUCUGCACGAGGGCUUUCUGCUUAUUGCUCUUUUCCCCAACAGCCAGAGUCGUCACGGUAGCGCGGGAAGGGGCCUCGCGGGCCGUCUGCAGCAGGUGCGGCCGGGAGCCGCAGGCCCGCGCGGAUUCCUGCGGAGCUGUAUUUACUUUACAUCCAUGUGAACUGCUGUCAUCACUACUGUGUCCAAGCCCAGAGGAUGAACUGGAAAAGAAGAGAGGGGGAAAAUAAUAAAAAGAGGAAAUUGGUUUUCACAACACACUCAAAGCCUGAGUAACAGAGGAGAACUUUAAUUAUCUCCAGUCACAAAGAGAGACAGGAAAUUUGGACUUUUAAUUAGCCAUUUGGAGUGCAGUUGGAUAU